rnacentral:rRNA from 1 species
UACGAAGGGUGCAAGCGUUGUUCGGAAUUAUUGGGCGUAAAGCGUUCGCAGGCGGGAACAUAUGUCAAGUGUGAAAUCCCUGAGCUUAACUCAGGACGUGCAUUUGAAACUGUGUUUCUUGAAUGCUGGAGAGGGUCGUGGAAUUGCUGGUGUAGGAGUGACAUCCGUAGAGAUCAGCAGGAACACCGGAGGCGAAAGCGACGACCUGGCCAGACAUUGACGCUCAGGAACGAAAGCGUGGGGAGCAAACAGG